UUCUUAAAUUAGCAAAAUCAUAUAUCCAAUCUUAAUUAUUAUUUAGUAGAUUUUGUAUUAAAAAUUAUUUAUAUAUUAAAUUGAAGUAUGAGGAUUUUUUUUGGAUACAAUUUAAAGAUAUAGGACGUAUGUGACACAUUUAUCUAUGUUAAAAGAAAAUAAGUGAAAUUUAGCCAUAAUUAAUAGUAAAUUGAUAAUAGCAAGCCAUAAAGACUUUAAUAAUAAGUUAAAUAAUUUUUUUUUCUUACAAAAAAUAUGAAAUUUAAGAAUUUUAUGAUAUAAAUUGACGUUGAGAGACGUGGUUGAAAUUAUCCUAGUAAUCAAGCUAAUCAAGAUGCUUAAUGAGUAAAGCAAACAUAUACAGUACUCAUUUAUUAGAGGCAAAUUUUGAUUUUGACCUGUAAAAUUCAUGUCAAUCCAAUUAAAAUUUGAAAAGAUUUAAAGUUAAAUUACUGGUAAAAUUAAAGUUCAAUUUGACAACCCAACCUAGAGUUGGUGGUAAUUUUUAUGAGUCUGCUGUCAAUUUCUUAAUUAAGAAUUAAAUUUAUUGGUAAAGAAAAGUUUGAAUUUUUAAAUUGUUAAAAUUAAAAUAAUUAAAUUAUUACUUCGUCUAUUUUUAUUUGCCAGUUUUCAAAAUUUGUUUUGCUCACCAUGAGAAAAUUAAAGUCAAUUAAUUAAAUUUUUUUUUUAAAUUUACCCUUACCUCUACUAAUUAAGUAUAAUAAUUAUUUUUAU
rnacentral:misc_RNA from 1 species